AACGAACGCUGGCGGCAUGCCUAACACAUGCAAGUCGAACGAGACCUUCGGGUCUAGUGGCGCACGGGUGCGUAACGCGUGGGAACCUGCCCUUAGGUUCGGAAUAACUCCCCGAAAGGGGUGCUAAUACCGGAUAAUGUCUUCGGACCAAAGAUUUAUCGCCUUUGGAUGGGCCCGCGUUGGAUUAGCUAGUUGGUAGGGUAAAAGCCUACCAAGGCGACGAUCCAUAGCUGGUCUGAGAGGAUGAUCAGCCACACUGGGACUGAGACACGGCCCAGACUCCUACGGGAGGCAGCAGUGGGGAAUAUUGGACAAUGGGCGAAAGCCUGAUCCAGCAAUGCCGCGUGAGUGAUGAAGGCCUUAGGGUUGUAAAGCUCUUUUACACGGGAUGAUAAUGACAGUAACGGGAGAAUAAGCUCCGGCUAACUCCGUG
rnacentral:rRNA from 1 species